ensembl:lncRNA
GUCCGUGUGUGUUUGUGUGUGUGUGUGUGUGAGUCUCUCAGUUGUAUCUGACUCUUUGUGACCCCAUGGACUGUAGCCCGCCAGGCGCCUCUGUCCAUGGGAUUUUUCCAGCAAGAAUACUGAAGUGGGUUGCCAUUUCCUCCUCCAGGGGACCCUUCUGACCCAGGGAUCAAUUCCGUGUCUUCUGCAUUGGCAGACCCUUAGGAGUGUUCCUUGCUUGGAGCAUCCCUGGACUUCUCACAAAGCAAGGUGUUUUGUGAGCCUCGUGAAGGCCAGAUGUUUUAUCCUGCUACGUUAAGUCAUCUUGACAUGCUGCCACGAAGUGGAAACAACUGCUAGUUUUAAUAUCGCUCCAUAUCUUUAUUACAAGAAGAAGAAACUGAGGCCUUAAGAGAGGAGGGGAUUUGUUCAAGGCUUUGCAGUCAG